rnacentral:misc_RNA from 1 species
AUGUAACCGGACCGUUCCUCUGCCGUAAAACGCACUGGAUCGGAAAGGGAGAUAUCAUACACCCUGUGUUUAUUUACCUUUGUUGCUUUGGCGGGCCGUCCUUUUAGGCGUCGGCCCCGGCUGAUCGCGCCCGCCAGAGGACCCAAACUCUUUUAUCAGUGAAGUCUGAGUACUAUAUAAUAGUUA